UGGGGAAUUUUCCGCAAUGGGCGAAAGCCUGACGGAGCAAUACCGCGUGAGGGAGGAAGGCUUUUGGGUUGUAAACCUCUUUUCUCAAGGAAUAAUAAAAUGAAGGUACUUGAGGAAUAAGCAUCGGCUAACUCCGUGCCAGCAGCCGCGGUAAUACGGAGGAUGCAAGCGUUAUCCGGAAUGAUUGGGCGUAAAGCGUCCGUAGGUGGUUUUGUGUGUCUGCUGUUAAAGCGUGCGGCUUAACCGCAUAAGGGCGGUGGAAACUACAAGACUAGAGUACGUUCGGGGCAGGGGGAAUUCCCAGUGUAGCGGUGAAAUGCGUAGAGAUUGGGAAGAACACCGGUGGCGAAAGCGCCCUGCUAGGCCGUAACUGACACUGAGGGACGAAAGCUAGGGGAGC
rnacentral:rRNA from 1 species